ACAUGCCUACAACAUAGCGUUAAUGCACUGGAUCCUAUUAUAACUUCGAAGUUAAGCACGCUUGGGCUAGAGUAGUACUGGGAUGGGUGACCACCCGAGAAGUCAUAAUGUUUUACAUGCC
rnacentral:rRNA from 1 species